UACAGAGGUCCCAAGCGUUGUUCGGAUUCACUGGGCGUAAAGGGUGCGUAGGUGGUGAGGUAAGUCGGAUGUGAAAUCUCCAAGCUCAACUUGGAAACUGCAUUGGAAACUACCUUGCUAGAGGAUUUGAGGGGGGAUUGGAAUACUUGGUGUAGCAGUGAAAUGCGUAGAUAUCAAGUGGAACACCAGUGGCGAAGGCGACCACCUGGACUGAUACUGACACUGAGGUGCGAAAGCGUGGGGAGCAAACAGG
rnacentral:rRNA from 1 species